GAUGAACGCUAGCGGCAGGCCUAAUACAUGCAAGUCGGACGGGAUUCAGGAGCUUGCUUCUGAUGAGAGUGGCGCACGGGUGCGUAACACGUAUGUAACCUACCUUUAUCAGGGGGAUAGCCUCUCGAAAGAGAGAUUAAGCCCGCAUAAAAUCACAGCACAGCAUUGUGUAAUGAUCAAAUAUUUAUAGGAUAAAGAUGGGCAUGCGGAACAUUAGCUAGAUGGCGGGGUAACGGCCCACCAUGGCGACGAUGUUUAGGGGAUCUGAGAGGAUGGCCCCCCAAACGGGUACUGAGACACGGACCAGACUCCUACGGGAGGCAGCAGUAAGGAAUAUUGGUCAAUGGGCGGAAGCCUGAACCAGCCAUGCCGCGUGCAGGAAGACGGCCCUACGGGUUGUAAACUGCUUUUAGACGGGAAUAAACCCAGAUACGUGUAUCUGGCUGAAGGUACUGUAAGAAUAAGGAUCGGCUAACUCCGUG
rnacentral:rRNA from 1 species